GACGAACGCUGGCGGCGUGCUUAACACAUGCACGUCGAACGGAGUGGCGAACGGGUGAGUAACACGUGGGUGACCUGCCCUGCACUUCGGGCUAAGCCUGGGAAACUGGGUCUAAUACCGGAUAGUGUGGGAUGGGGCCGCGGCCUAUCAGCUUGUGUGUGGGGUCAUGGCCUACCAUGGCGGCGACGGGUAGCCGGCCUGAGAGGGUGGACGGCCACGUGGGGGCUAAGAGAGGGGGCAGAGGCGUACGUGGGGCAGAGGAGGGGAGUAUUGCACAAUGGGGGGGAGCGUGAUGCAGAGACGCCGCGUGGGGGAGAAUGGGGGGCGGGUUGGAAACUCCUUUCACCAUCGACGCGGUAGAUGGAGAAGAAGCACCGGCUAACUACGUGCCAGCAGCCGCGGUAAUAC
rnacentral:rRNA from 1 species